UAGAGUUUGAUCCUGGCUCAGAGUGAACGCUGGCGGCAGGCCUAACACAUGCAAGUCGAACGGCAGCACAGGAGAGCUUGCUCUCUGGGUGGCGAGUGGCGGACGGGUGAGGAAUACAUCGGAAUCUACCUUUUCGUGGGGGAUAACGUAGGGAAACUUACGCUAAUACCGCAUACGACCUUCGGGUGAAAGCAGGGGACCUUCGGGCCUUGCGCGAUUAGAUGAGCCGAUGUCGGAUUAGCUAGUUGGUGAGGUAAAGGCUCACCAAGGCGACGAUCCGUAGCUGGUCUGAGAGGAUGAUCAGCCACACUGGAACUGAGACACGGUCCAGACUCCUACGGGAGGCAGCAGUGGGGAAUAUUGGACAAUGGGCGCAAGCCUGAUCCAGCCAUGCCGCGUGGGUGAAGAAGGCCUUCGGGUUGUAAAGCCCUUUUGUUGGGAAAGAAAAGCAGUCGAUUAAUACUCGAUUGUUCUGACGGUACCCAAAGAAUAAGCACCGGCUAACUUCGUGCCAGCAGCCGCGGUAAUACGAAGGGUGCAAGCGUUACUCGGAAUUACUGGGCGUAACGCGUGCGUAGGUGGUGAUUUAAGUCCGUUGUGAAAGCCCUGGGCUCAACCUGGGAAUUGCAGUGGAUACUGGGUCACUAGAGUGUGGUAGAGGGUAGCGGAAUUCCCGGUGUAGCAGUGAAAUGCGUAGAGAUCGGGAGGAACAUCUGUGGCGAAGGCGGCUACCUG
rnacentral:rRNA from 1 species